UCGGUAAAAUUAGAAUAAUUUCUCGAUCAAUUGAAGUUACCAACCGCCGAAGCAAAAGCCCAAAAUUCAACAGAACAGUAUUUUAUUAUACACUUUCGAUCACCCCCAGGAACUGGAGGAAAGAGAAUAAUUGAUCUGAAGUUGGAGAUUUUCUACUGGAGAGAGCAGGCCUUUUCGUGCCAGACUUUCAAGAUUGUUAAUUUCCUAUUGCACAAGCAGUCUUUUCUUGGAGAAAUGCAGUGUUAGACACUAUCCUGUGGUAAACUACAAUGGUUUUAUCAGUUACAUUAAUUUUUAGUCACAAAGGGAUAAGUGGUUUAUGCAUCAAAAGCGGAAUAUCUUCGUUGAUUGCUGGGAAGCUGUCACUUCUAAGAUUUUCCAUGGGAUGGAAGGGGAUUCUGCUUUCAUUAUUAUAUCUUGCCAGUUUGGUUGAGUCGGCAAGCAGACCAGGAAAAUUUUGGUCCAUUGAUAUAAACACUGGAUCAUCAUCGCUCUACAGCUGGACAAUUUGCAGUGCAGCAAUAUUUGUCGUGGUGGCUCUUGUUCUUUCCUUGUACCUUAUCUUUGAGCAUUUAGCUUCAUACCAUCAGCCUGAGGAGCAGAUGUUUUUGAUUGGACUCAUUCUAAUGGUUCCUGUUUAUGCACUGGAAUCGUUCUUGUCACUGUUAAAGUCGGAUUAUGCUUUCUACUGUGAAAUUAUACGGGAUUGUUACGAAGCUUUUGCUUUGUAUUGCUUUUGGAGAUAUCUUAUUGCCUGCUUAGGUGGAGAGAAAAGUACCAUUGAAUUUAUGGAAAGUCAAAGCUGGGUUACUUCUGAUAUAUCUCUUCUGGACGAAGCAUAUGCUUAUGGAGUUGUUGAACAUCCUUUUCCAUUGAAGUGCUUUCUCAGGGGCUGGCAGCUUGGCUCUUACUUCUAUCAGGCUGUAAAAAUUGGCAUCGUGCAAUAUAUGAUAUUGAAGAUGAUGUGUGCUUUAUUGGCGAUGAUUUUUGAAUUUCUCGGUGUUUAUGGGGAAGGGAAGUUUCAAUGGGGUUAUGCUUACCCAUAUUUGGCAGUCGUUUUGAAUUUUAGCCAGACCUGGGCAUUAUAUUGCCUUGUCCAGUUCUACUCUGUCACCAAGAAUAAGUUGGCGCCUAUCAAACCUUUGGCCAAGUUUUUGACAUUCAAGUCAAUUGUUUUUCUGACAUGGUGGCAAGGUGUUGCUGUUGCCUUUCUUUUCUCAUUUGGAGCUUUUAAUGGGUCUUUGGCACGGGUUUUGAAAACACGCGUACAAGACUAUAUAAUCUGUAUUGAGGCUUGUGAAACAGAUGGGUAUCGCUGCUGUAGUACACCUUUACGUUUUCCCAGCUGUACCUUACAAGCGUGGAGAGAGAGGUGUAAGAAAUGUUGCUGUGUUGGCAGAUUAUGCAUCUUUAGGAUCUCCACCAGACCCAGAAGAGGUUAGAGACUGUGAAAGAUCUACCAGGGUACGUAUUGCUCGAGAUGAUGAAAGAGAAAAACGUAUGAAACUGCAUCAGAGUGUUCGUGAUGUGGUGGUUGGAAGUGGUGAAAUAAUUGUAGAUGAUAUGAAGUUCACAGUUUCACAUGUUGCGGAACCAGUCGAAAGAGGAAUAGCUAAAAUAAAUAAAACUUUCCGUCAGAUAUCUGAAAAUGUGAAGCGGAUAGAGGAGGAGCGUAAGAAGAAUUCCAAAGACGAUAGCUAUCUCGUCCCCUUGAACUCACGGACAAAAGAAUUCUCUGAUGUUCAUGAUGACCAUGUUGAAGGGGGGAGUAUCAGUGACAGUGGUUUGUCUGAAGGGAAGAGACCGCAUUACCAGUCUAAAGGGAAAUCUUUUCUGUCAUGAAACAGAUGACAUAUUCUCUACCUGCUAAAGAAAUAGAGUAGAAGUGACUAAUGGUUCGUGCAUGAAAUUUUCAUGGCGUACAGUACUUCAGAGACUCGAUAUUUUGAUCGUCUCUUGGAAGCUUGGUAACAUUGGAAGAGGAAGUAUAUAAAGAGUAGACUUUGACUGACCCAAAAAAAGGGAACUGGUAUUCGCUAACGGAGCUUGUACCAUAGAUGACCUCUGAUACAGUUUAUUCUGCUCUCCAAUGCAUUUUUGAUUGGAUGUUAGCCAGAACUUGAUUGAACCAUUUCAUAAUUCAAUGAAUUUUUCCUCUCAUAAAAGAAGUUGCUUCCUUUUAUUAUAGUGAA